rnacentral:rRNA from 1 species
AGCUCCAAUAGCGUAUAUUAAAGUUGUUGCAGUUAAAAAGCUCGUAGUUGGAUUUGUGGUUGUACGUGUUUGGCCAUCGACACUGUCGGUGUGCUUGAAUGCGUCGCCAUCUUUGGGUGGAACCUGUGUGGCAUUAGGUUGUCGUGCAGGGGAUGCCCAUCGUUUACUGUGAAAAAAUUAGAGUGUUCAAAGCAGGCUUAUGCCGUUGAAUAUGUUAGCAUGGAAUAAUAAGAUAGGACCUUGGUACUAUUUUGUUGGUUUGCGCACCAAGGUAAUGAUUAAUAGGGACAGUUGGGGGUAUUCGUAUUUCAUUGUCAGAGGUGAAAUUCUUGGAUUUUUGAAAGACGAACUACUGCGAAAGCAUUUACCAAGGAUGUUUUCAUUAAUCAAGAACGAAAGU